rnacentral:misc_RNA from 1 species
GGAAGCAAAAGUCGUAACAAGGUCUCCGUUGGUGAACCAGCGGAGGGAUCAUUAUCGAGUUUACAACUCCCAAACCCAUUGAGAACCUUACCUUUGUUGCUUCGGCGGGAUUGUCCCGGUGCCUCGCUGCCCGGAUCAAGGCGCCUGCCGGAGGCCUCAAACUCUUGUUUUAAAACCUUUUGGAUUUUCUGAGUGGCACAAACAAAUAAAUCAAAACUUUCAACAACGGAUCUCUUGGUUCUG